AUGUGCUCAGCAUUCUUAGAAUCUGGAUAGAAAGCUGCUCUGGAUAAUGGAUGAAAUCAUCCAGUUAAAGAACAGGUCAUCUAAAAAUCAACAAAGACAAAGUGAAAUUCCAUGGAUUCCAUGCAGGUGUGCUUUGCCCAACUAAAGAGUCCAUUCCAAAGUCCAGCAAGUGGCUCAGAAGUUGCACAAGGGCACAUCAGCUAAACGUUUCCAGGGACACAGCAUGG